AGUUCCACAUUAUUUAAGGAUAUUGUUGUUGGAAUGGGCAUUAAUGAGCACAUUGGCGUGUAGAGAACUUUUUGAAUGCCCGCAGUAAUCAGUCUGGAGAGCUUUUGUUACUGGAAGCACUAGGUUGCAAUAAAACCUGUUUGUUUUUUUGACCGUGUAAUCUACACAUUGUUGGACCAUCAGACAGAGCAUGCCUAAGUGUUCUCCUAUGGUAGCAAGGCUUGUAAAGUAAAGAAUUUAUUGGUGACAUGAUUGUAACCUGUAAGUCAUAAUACAACCUGCAAUGCUUUUUGUUAACUGGAUGACCUGCUUUCUUUCUGUAAGUAGCUUCAAAUUGUGGUGGAAGGCUCUAUGAUACACAAGAUCUUCUGUCGAAUGGGGAACUGCAUACACAGGUCCUUUUAAAGGGCAAGUCCCAAGUCCAGGUAAAGCCGUAAUGGGAGAAAGGUUGCUGUCGAUUGAUAGUCCUUCAAAUUGUGUCGAGGCAUGUGACAUGAAGCCAACUUCAAAUUUAUUGAGCAUUAGACUUUGUUUUAUGUUCAAAAUUAAAAUUCUAUUGUGCCCUGCCCAUGAAGUUGAUAUUUGUUGUCAUUUUUUAGUUCUAGUCCUGUUCCUAGAUUUGUCUUCUUAAAGUGAAUAAGAGGUUGACUUAUUCGCCUUUCACAUGAUCAGUAAUAAGAAUUAUCCAUUAAAUUA